rnacentral:lncRNA from 1 species
ACCAUAUCAUAUGCCUUUCACAAAUCUAUCUUCAUUAAAUACCUUGGGGAAGUUUUCUUUCUAUAGUGUCUCAACAAAUCAUGACAAAUUAGCACAUUUUGAAUUAGAGAUCUCUCUUUGACAAAAGCAGCCUGAGUUUCACUUAGUAAGUCUAAUAGUACCAUAUUUAAUCUUGUACAAAGUAUCUUAGAAGUACACUUGUAAACCACAUUGCAG